rnacentral:rRNA from 1 species
UACGGAGGAUGCGAGCGUUAUCCGGAUUUAUUGGGUUUAAAGGGUGCGUAGGCGGUAGAUUAAGUCAGCGGUGAAAGUUUGAGGCUCAACCUUAAAAUUGCCGUUGAAACUGGUUUACUUGAGUGUAGAUGAAGUAGGCGGAAUUCGUAGUGUAGCGGUGAAAUGCAUAGAUAUUACGAAGAACUCCAAUUGCGCAGGCAGCUUACUAAGGUACAACUGACGCUGAAGCACGAAAGCGUGGGUAUCAAAC